AGCAGCCGCGGUAAUUCCAGCUCCAAUAGCGUAUAUUAAAGUUGUUGCAGUUAAAAAGCCCGUAGUUGAAUUUCGGAAUUUGUCGGUUGGUCGGGCUUCACUGUCCGCACUGACCUGAUGGAUUCCUACCUUCUGAAUAACCAGCAUGCUAUUAAUUUAGUGCGUUGGGGAAGCAGAGCUAUUACCUUGAAAAAUUAGAGUGCUUAAAGCAGGCUUGUGCUUGAAUAGAUUAGCAUGGAAUAAUAAAAUAGGACGGCAUGGUUCUAUUUUGUUGGUUUCUAGGAUCACUGUAAUGAUUAACAGGGAUAGUUGGGGGCAUUAGUAUUCAAUUGUCAGAGGUGAAAUUCUUGGAUUUAUUGAAGACUAACUUCUGCGAAAGCAUUUGCCAAGGAUGUUUUCAUUAAUCAAGAACGAAAGUUAGGGGAUCGAAGACGAUCAGAUACCGUCGUAGUCUUAACCAUAAACUAUGCCGACUAGGGAUCGGACGAUGUUAAUUUUUAAUGUACUCGUUC
rnacentral:rRNA from 1 species